AACAAAACUCAGGUUCCCAAAGGGGAAGAUGUAAACAUAAGAGCGCCUUCGAAAUCCCCUGAAAGACGUGAACAGGAACUUGAAGAUACAAUCGCAAGCAUUUACUGUCCAACUUGUCAAGCUCCACUUCAUUACUUGAAAAUCUCUCCUGAUAUUCAUGCUGCCUCCUGUGCAGUUGAUUGGAGCGAUCUUCCAGAAUGUCCAGUAGGCGCAAGCUGUGCUGAUGAUAGCAUUUUUCAUUUCCGUGACUUUGCUCAUGCUGCUCUCGCAGAAUAUCGUAGUACAAAGAAUUUUGUCUCUCCACGUGUCAAGCGUCUAAUUCGAAGUAAAUCUAAAUCUAAGAAAACACCAGCUAGCACCAGAAAAAUAUCUCUGAAUUCUCAGGUAUAUUCAGGGGUAGACCAUGAAGCCAAAGAAAAAGUAAAAAGAAAGUUAGACUUGGGUGAUACAGAUAUCAGCAGUAGCAACCCAAACCUCGCUUCAAACUCUAAUUAUUCAUUUGUAGAAUCCGAGAAAAAUUCCACUCGUAAAUCUUACAGCACAUACUUCAGUCAGGAAAAUGAUGAUGAAGAAGCUCAAGUUGAGACUCCCUGCUUCAUUGACCAGAUGGAAGCAACAAAACCAUGUUCCUCAGUCUCACAGAGUACUCGCCAAAAGAGAAAAAAUCCAGUCAAUGAAAGUUGCAGCAAAGCUGCAGAAGAGCCCAUUCUCAGAAAAGCUAACAGUACAAACAGCUGUAGGAAGAGUUUGAAUCAAGAAAUCAAUGAAUUGAGCGAGAAUGGUCCCAAAUCUAAAAAGAGAAAAUCCUUGCAUACCAACACCUCCUCAGUUGAUUGUGACCAUGCUGAUAAUCUUAAGUCGAAUAUUUCUCAAUCCAAAUCUAUCUUAAAUACUAAGAAAAAAUCUCGUACAGAUAGUGCUCGUUUAUCUAAAUCUAAUGAUGAAGGGAAAAAAUCAAGUACAGAGACUGGAUCUGACAGUGAUAAUUCCUACCGCAAAAUUCCUGGAACUUUAUCGGAUUCUCAGGUCAAAGAUUUCUCAUUGGGCUCAACGACAUACUCUCAACCUUGCUCAACACCAUCAUUGUCUGAAGUUCCUGAUUAUCUUUUAAAUGCUGUUCAUUCAGUCAAAAUUAAAAAGAGAUAAAAGAAGAGCCCAUUGACCCUGAGGAGUUGUUUGUUGGCUCUCAAGAACAUCUUUCUAAGGUGCAAAAUUCAUGUUCUGAUGCUGCUAAAGAAGAAACCAUCUCAGAAUCUUAUCAGUCAAACACAGUACCUGGUGAUUCUUACCAAACUUUGAAUAAAAACUGUGAUACUCCUGAAAAUUUAGAGAGUCUUCAGUCCACUUCUAGUUUCAAAAUAUCGUCCAAGCAGCAAAUAAAGUCUGAAAAUUUGAAGGAGGAUCCACUGACUAUGGACAGUGAUGAAGGAAUCCCGGUGUUAUUUUCGGAUGAAGAGUUCGAACGGUGUUUUGAGAAAUAUGAUCAUGAUCCAGCCAAGAAAACAGAAGACAACUUCAGCAUAGAUGAGUCAUCAAACGAUUCCUCCGUAUCAAGAGAUGCUUCUUUGUCAAAGAAACAAGGUAAGGAAUCAGUUGAUGUCGUAUUAGUUCACUCAAAAUUUUAACGGAGUCUUCGGAAGAUAUUUAUUCUUGUUAAAUAAAAAAAAAAACAAAACAACUGAAGACUCUGAAAUUAUUUUCCAUCUUUUUUGGCGGAAAGAUCCAUCUGUUUCAUGUUUGAAAUUUUCAAAAACUUAUGAAGGUAAGUAUUUUC
rnacentral:lncRNA from 1 species